GAUGAACGCUGGCGGCGUGCCUAAUACAUGCCAGUCGAGCGAACAGACGAGGAGCUUGCUCCUCUGACGUUAGCGGCGGACGGGUGAGUAACACGUGGAUAACCUACCUAUAAGACUGGGAUAACUUCGGGAAACCGGAGCUAAUACCGGAUAAUAUAUUGAACCGCAUGGUUCAAUAGUGAAAGACGGUUUUGCUGUCACUUAUAGAUGGAUCCGCGCCGCAUUAGCUAGUUGGUAAGGUAACGGCUUACCAAGGCAACGAUGCGUAGCCGACCUGAGAGGGUGAUCGGCCACACUGGAACUGAGACACGGUCCAGACUCCUACGGGAGGCAGCAGUAGGGAAUCUUCCGCAAUGGGCGAAAGCUUGCCGGAGCAACGCCGCGUGAGUGAUGAAGGUCUUCGGAUCGUAAAACUCUGUUAUUAGGGAAGAACAAAUGUGUAAGUAACUAUGCACGUCUUGACGGUACCUAAUCAGAAAGCCACGGCUAACUACGUG
rnacentral:rRNA from 1 species